UGAAGUCUAAUUUUCAAAAAAUUGAAUGGUUCAUUAUUUGGACUCUCCCACGACAAGAUAUGAAUCAUUUGUUACAAGCACGUAAAGCUAAAAAUUAUGCGACUAAGAUAAAAUUCGAACAAUGUAAAGCAAAAGAGAGGCCGAAACAUUUAUGCCCUCGAAGUUUCCAAGUUUGAAGUCUUCAAGUGUAUUCAAGUUGAAGUCCCCAAGUUGAAAUCUUGAACCCCGCCGGUCUUCAAGUUGAAGUCUUCAAAUCCGCUAAUCUUCAAGUUGAAAUAUUUAGGCCCUCCAAGUCUCAAAGUUGAAGUCUUCAAAUUCGGUGAUCUUCAAGCUGAAACAUUUAAGACCUUCGAAUCUUCGAGUUGAAGUCUGCAAAGUCCGCCAAAAUUUCAAAGUUUUCCAAGUGUUCAAGUUGAUUUCAUCUUCGGGUUGAAGCUUUAUAACUUUCCAAUCUUAAGGUGGAC
rnacentral:lncRNA from 1 species